rnacentral:rRNA from 1 species
UACAGAGGGGGCCAGCGUUAUUCGGAAUUAUUGGGCGUAAAGGGCGCGUAGGCGGCCAUGCGUGUCUUCCGUGAAAUCCCUCGGCUUAACCGAGGACGUGCGGAAGAAACUGCAAGGCUCGAGUCCGGAAGAGGGGGGCGGAAUUCCCAGUGUAGCGGUGAAAUGCGUAGAUAUUGGGAGGAACACCAGUGGCGAAGGCGGUCCCCUGGGCCGGAACUGACGCUGAGGCGCGAAAAGCGUGGGUAGCAAACGGG